rnacentral:rRNA from 1 species
UACAGAGGGUGCAAGCGUUGUUCGGAAUUAUUGGGCGUAAAGCGCGCGUAGGCGGCCACUUAAGUCGGAUGUGAAAGCCCCUGGCUCAACUGGGGAAGUGCACCCGAAACUGAAUGGCUUGAAUGCAAAAGAGGGUCGCGGAAUUCCCGGUGUAGAGGUGAAAUUCGUAGAUAUCCGGAGGAACACCGGUGGCGAAGGCGGCUUCCUGGACCGACACUGACGCUGAGGCGCGAAAGCUAGGGGAGCAAACGGG